CAGGUGCCCCCAUUUUUCUCUUGCGCAAAGCAUUGCCAUCAAAAAGCCUGAUGAAAAUCUGAAAGAGAGUGGGCUUAUGGCUAAGAAGAUUAAACUUCAUCUUGCUGGAGGGGGCAGAAGCCAAAGGAGGGAUGGUGGCUUUCUAAGGAGACCCACAGUGCCACUGGCAAAGCUGUGAGAAGAAUCCAGGCUCUCCCAGCCACUCAGCAAAAAGGACCACAAGGAAUAACACUCACAGACCAAAGUGCUUACAAGGAAUUCCUUUGGAAGAACUGGGCUCUUGGAUAGAACACACAGAAGGUGCCCAAUGUUACUUCCAUUCAAUCAUACUUCUCAAUUCUGCGUCCACACCUUGCAAGAACAAGCCCCCGGCCCAAAGACCUGCAUUCCAGCCCCUUUCCUGGACCUCUGGGGCCACAAAGUCUCCCCAGAUUAGUCCCUCUCCUGCAACUCUCCUGCAAGGUUCUGAUAGUCCUCAACUCUCCAUCCUGACAGGAUAAAGGGAUUGAGAAUGUACUAAGUGUUCCAAAGACCUGGCAAAGGCCAAGUGCUGACUGGAUGGUAAUAAAGAGGGGAGAAUCUAUUUGUCUCCAGUAAACCAGUACUUCUCCACAUUCUUCAAACUCUCCAUUUAAAAGCCAUACUCAUGGGGCACCUGGGUGUCUCCGUUGUUAAGUCUGCCUUCAAUUCAGGACAU